GAGUUUGAUCAUGGCUCAGAUUGAACGCUGGCGGCAUGCCUUACACAUGCAAGUCGAACGGCAGCACGGGGGCAACCCUGGUGGCGAGUGGCGAACGGGUGAGUAAUACAUCGGAACGUGUAAAAAAAAAAGGGAUAGCCCGGCGAAAGCCGGAUUAAUACCGCAUACGAUCUCUGGAUGAAAGCGGGGGACCGAAAGGCCUCACGCUCAAGGGGCGGCCGAUGGCAGAUUAGCUAGUUGGUGGGGUAAAGGCCUACCAAGGCGACGAUCUGUAGCUGGUCUGAGAGGACGACCAGCCACACUGGGACUGAGACACGGCCCAGACUCCUACGGGAGGCAGCAGUGGGGAAUUUUGGACAAUGGGGGCAACCCUGAUCCAGCAAUGCCGCGUGUGUGAAGAAGGCCUUCGGGUUGUAAAGCACUUUUGUCGGGAAAGAAAACUUCCUGGUUAAUACCUGGGGAGGAUGA
rnacentral:rRNA from 1 species